AGUGAACGCUGGCGGCAGGCCUAACACAUGCAAGUCGAGCGGCAGCGGGUCCUUCGGGAUGCCGGCGAGCGGCGGACGGGUGAGGAAUACAUCGGAAUCUGCCCUGUCGUGGGGGAUAACCUAGGGAAACUUAGGCUAAUACCGCAUACGACCUACGGGUGAAAGCGGGGGAUCGCAAGACCUCGCGCGACAGGAUGAGCCGAUGUCCGAUUAGCUAGUUGGCGGGGUAAAGGCCCACCAAGGCGACGAUCGGUAGCUGGUCUGAGAGGAUGAUCAGCCACACUGGGACUGAGACACGGCCCAGACUCCUACGGGAGGCAGCAGUGGGGAAUAUUGGACAAUGGGCGCAAGCCUGAUCCAGCCAUGCCGCGUGGGUGAAGGAGGCCUUCGGGUUGUAAAGCCCUUUUGUCCGGGAAGAAAUCGUCUGGGCUAAUACCCCGGGCGGAUGACGGUACCGGAAGAAUAAGCACCGGCUAACUUCGUG
rnacentral:rRNA from 1 species